rnacentral:rRNA from 1 species
GUCGAACGAGAUUAUCCAGCUUGCUGGAUAUGAAAGUGGCGCACGGGUGCGUAACGCGUAUGCAACCUACCUUAAUCAGGGGGAUAGCCCGAAGAAAUUCGGAUUAACACCGCAUAAAAACACAGAAUAGCAUUAUUCAAUGUUCAAAUAUUUAUAGGAUUAAGAUGGGCAUGCGUGUCAUUAGCUAGUUGGCGGGGUAACGGCCCACCAAGGCGACGAUGACUAGGGGAUCUGAGAGGAUGACCCCCCACACUGGUACUGAGACACGGACCAGACUCCUACGGGAGGCAGCAGUAAGGAAUAUUGGUCAAUGGAGGCAACUCUGAACCAGCCAUGCCGCGUGCAGGAAGACGGCCCUAUGGGUUGUAAACUGCUUUUAUCUGGGAAUAAACCUUUUUACGUGUAAGAAGCUGAAUGUACCAGAAGAAUAAGGAUCG